rnacentral:tRNA from 1 species
AAAGGGAGACCUAAUUCAGGUAGGAGACGAAAAAAAAGUAGUCCCUACCAAGAAUCAAUCCCAAAAGGUCGGAACGAGGUAUGAGGCUUUCAAACUAGGUUCUGGGUUCAUAAAAGACCUGAAUCAGGAACAAGGGCUAUUAGCUCAGGUGGUUAGAGCGCACCCCUGAUAAGGGUGAGGUCCCUGGUUCGAGUCCAGGAUGGCCCACCUGCACAGGUGGCAAAAACAAGAGAAGCAAGGAAUCAGCACCUUAUCUUAUAUACAUAUAUAAGAGAGAAUGCUGGCUCUGAGUACAGAGUCCAGAGGAACCUUGAAAACUGCAUAGAGCUAGGUGAAAAAGCCAAAAAAGAAGACCGCAAG